rnacentral:lncRNA from 1 species
AUUGCUUCAGACUCUUAAAAAAGGACAGUCCAGAUUUGCUUUUUCAUCCUGUAUGCCUUUUUCCUCUCUUGCUGCAGAGCUGGGUCAACAGGAAGCUCUAAAGCAGGGGAUGAGGCCAUGGACGUCCCUGAAAAUGUGCCUCCUCUCUCUGCAGAGAUCAGGAUCAUCCUGGUCUCAGCUCAGCACCUGGAGUGAAGAGUACUCCCAGCAGAGCCAGAGCGGUGAGCCCACCCCGUUGCCCACUUCUGCGUGUCCACCCAGACUUAAGCUGAUGGAAUAUUAUUCAGCACUGAAAAAGAAAUAAGCUAUCAAGCCAUGAACAGACCUGGAGGAAACUUAAAUGAAUACUGCUUAGUGAAAGAAGCCAAUCUGAAAAGGCUACAUACCGUGUGAUUCCAACUAUAUGACAUUCUGGAAAAGGCCACACUAUGGAGACGAAUGGACCACAGCAAGAGUGAACCCUAAUGUGAACUCUGGACUUUGGAUGAUAAUGAUGUGUCAAUGCAGGUUCACCCUUGGUAACAAAUGUACCAGCUGGUUCCCCGCUUGAGGAGUGAAACCGCAGUGAACUCUCUCUGUUCUGGUUUGUGGAGGGGAAGAACAAUUUGAGCUGAUCUUAUGAUACGCAGACUCCACAUUUAGUCAUCCACUGUUUCACUGAUGGAUAUGCAGAUCGCCUUCAACAAUCCGAUCCACGAAUACACUGCCGUGAAUUCAUUUAUUUAACAAAUAUUUAUAUGAGCAACUGCUAUGUUCUAGGUGUGGUUCUAGGUGCUUAGGAUGUAUCCGAAAACAAAACAGGAUCACUGGCUGACACGUUGGGAAAAGACUGCGUGAAAGGCAAGAUUAAAAGCAGGGAUUCUGGUUAGAAAGCUUUUGUGAUAAAAGAGCAACAGACGAUGAUAGAUGAGGCCAGAACGGAAGUGGUAAAGAUGGUGAGAGAUGGUCAGAUUUGGGACAAAUUUUAAAUUUAAAACUGAUAAAAUUUCUCAAAGUUCUGCUUCUACUUAGGAUGCAAAAAAACCACAAGAAUACAUUGCUCCCAUACUAACAAUGAGAAAAAUCUGGAUAAUCUAUAAAAUCGUCAUUUUUCUUAAGUCCAUCAGAGAACUGACGUCUCAAGGCAACCAAAGAAAUGGAAUUCAAGAAAGUAACAACAUUCUCCUAGCCACAGAAAUGCGAAAUGAGAUACACAGACUGUUUGACUUUUGGCAAGACACAGGAAGAAGAGAUGGCUGCCAUAGAAGGAACAAGAAACAAGCUGACAUUUUAGCAAAUUCCUAAAGACUUAGCGUGGGCUGGUGUACCAGUGUGGUGUAACUCCCCUUGUAGACGCCCGGGGAGUUCUCACGCUCCAGCUCUUCUCCACCGGCCUUUAACAGGUGUUCACAAAGACUGAGGGCAGGGCAGGAGACCAGAGAGAGCGUCCCUCAGUAGCCCAGGUGUGUAGGAAAUGAUUUGAUGACACUGGAGAACAGGAAAAAAAAUGAUUGCGUGCUUCCCCCAACCUUUCUGUGAUACAAAGCAAAAGUGUUACGCCACUGGGGCAAAUGCAGCAAAAACAUGUCGCCUCCAGAGCUAAUCGGGGAGGGGUAGAUGGAAAACCCAUCUGCCUUGGGUGAGGGUAUAAAAGCUUCCUUCCUGGCCCCUAGGAACCAGGUAAAGACCCACUGCUUCUGGGGAAGGAUAGAAACAGAAGCCGUGCGCCUUAGAGGAGGGGCAAGAAAAUCUCUUGGCCCAGGAUCUUGCACCAGCACAAAGCAGAGGUGUGCUACUGAUGGGAAGGGACGGGAAAAUGGCUCCUGCCAGCAGUUCACACCAAUGGGAGACAGAGUUUACUGCCCUGCGGGGCAGGAGGAGGAAGGGGAAGAGGAGGAGAAAGGAGGAGCAGGAAUGCUGAGAGAUCCUGCCUGCAAGGCCAAGUGCACAGUCCUUGCCUAAGACCGAGGCUGGACCAGGAGAAUUGAGAAUCUGCUCCUGCUCCCCAGGAGCCUAGCACCAAGUAGCAAGCACCGGUGGUCUACCAUGGAAGAGGGGAAAUAACAGCAAAAAGACCCCCUCUGUGGUGCCAGCUUGCCGGGACUGCUGAAAUCUGACGGUGGAGCAGAAAUACGGAAAAACUACUCCAGGACCCAAGGCCUCCGACUAAGCUACAGGCGAAGAGAGCGCACCACCAGAGCAAUUUGAAGCCUGUGGUGCGCUGCAGCUCAUGACAGCAACAAUAAAACCCAAACUUAGCUUGGCUACCGAGGAGAUCGAAUCAGUUCCCCCACACGAAUGGCCUGACAGAAGAGGCACACCCAUUUCCAGAAGUCAACAUCGUUUACCUCAUCUCUACUGUUCUUCAAACACGAUGACUGGCGGUCAACGAAAAACGGUGAGAUACCAAACAGCAAGGAAAAAAAAGACCCAAUGUUUCGUUUUUGUUUUCCCCAGUUUUAUCGAGAUAUAAUUGACAUGUGAGGUUGCAUAAGUUUAAGGGGUACAACACAAUGAUUUGAUACAAGUAUAUGCUAUGAAAUGACUACCACAAUAUGUUUAGUUAACAUCCAUCACCUCUCAGACCUUUUUUUCCUGUGAUGAGAACUUUAAGAUCUACUCUGUUAGCAACUUUCAAACAUACAAUACAGUCAUGCAUCGCUUUACAACGCAGACACAUUCUAAGAAAUGCGUCAUUAGGCGAUUUGGUCGUUACGUGAACAUCAUGGCGUGUACUUACACACACCUAGAUGGUGUAGCCUACUACACACCUGGGCUGUAUGGUACUGAUCUUAUGGGACCAGCGUCGUAUAUGCGGGCUGUCAUUGACUGAAAGGUCAUUAUGAGGUGCGUGACCGUACAGUAUUAUUAACUACAGACACCAUGCUGGACAUUAUGUCCCCAGAAUUUAUCAGUCUUAGAACUGGAAGUUUGUACCUUUUGACCAUCUUCCCCCUUCUCUCAUUCCACCCCACCCCCCUACCCUUGCCCCCUGGCCUCUGGCAACUACCAAUCUGUUCUCUGUUUCUAUGAGACCCGUUGUUAAGAAAUAAAGCAAUCACGGAACUAGCUCAGAGAUGCUGGAAUUAUCACAAAGUGUCUUUAAAAUAACUGUGAUUAAUAUAUUAAAGGAACGAGUGGAAAAUUUGCAUGCAUGAGCAGAUGGGGAACUGACCGUUCAGAGGAAAGGAGGAUGGGGACUAGGAGAAUCCUUUGAACAGUUACAGGUCAUUCCUUGCAGCCGGC